UAGAAUUUGGUGUAAUUGGAAGCACGGAGAGUUUUGGAUUCUCAAGAGUAGGUUCAAUUCCUGUGAUUCUAG
rnacentral:tRNA from 1 species